rnacentral:rRNA from 1 species
UAGCUGCAGUAAAUUAACUGUACUAAGGUAGCAUAAUAAAUUGUUUUUUAAUUAAAAACUAGAAUGAAAGAUUAAAUGAAAAGCUAACUUAUUUUAAAGAUAAAAAGUAAAACUUAAUUUCUAAGUUAAAAAUCUUAGAUUAACUCUUAAAAGACAAGAAGACCCUUUAGAAUUUUAUAUAUUAAAGCCAAACCAUGGUAACUAUAUAUUAAGUUGGGGAGACUGCAAAACAAAAAUCUUUUGCUUAAUCCAAUUCACCCAAAAGUGUAAAUUUAAAUAUCCACUAAUGAAAUAGACCAAAUUACCUAAGGGAUAACAGCGUAAAAUUUCUUGAAAGACCUCAUUAAUAGAAUUUAUUACGACCUCGAUGUUGGAUUAA